UCGAGCAUUUGAGGACUGUAGCAGAGCCGACCACAGAGGCCCUUAUUGUGUGCAUCUGCAGAGCAGCCGUGGAGAAGGCUGGGCUGUCUUAAUUUUAUCCCAGGGCUUAGGUCUCAGGUGUUUAAAUGAGUCAUUUUGCUUUCUGGAUAAUGCCUUCACUGAGAUGCUUAUGACGGUCCUGGGCAUGUGAUUGUGCUGUGCAACUUCUACCUGGACAGCCAGUCCCUUAAACAGAAGGUGAACACUACCUACCCCUGUCCAACUAGAAGAGACCAUGAUCAGUGGGACAAACCACCACGAUAACAUCCACACCUUUCAGCUGGGUUGCCGUAAGCAGAGCUGGACCUCAGGGUGAAGGAAAAGACGCUUAACAACACAGCCGUUGGCUUUGAUCCAUCCUGCGCUGGCUCUUCACCUGAUGACCAAGCACGCUCAAACAAUGGAAUGACCUUGCAAUCCUUUCCGUAGACACAUGACGAGCACCCACCGUCAGCACGUAUGGGCAUCGUGAUUAAGCGCUGGACCCAGAGAUGACUGGAGCCAUGUCUGUCUUGUGGCUACAAUUCCCAGUCUCGACAUUAGGCUUUGGCUUGCAAACAGGAGGGCCACCCUGUCUUGUCUUUUCCAUAUCCCACACCUGAUCCUAGUCCGUAUCUCCUGACAGCAUUCGUCAUUAUUUUCUCUGCUCUCUGCAAUGUCACAUGGCAGAGACAGACCAGAGUGAGGAUUUGCCUUAAAAGAAACAGUGCAAGGGGUGGACAAGCCUGAAGACUAAGCGAAACGCGGGAAGGGUGUCAGCAGGAGGGAAGGAAGAGGUGAAGCAAAGCCUCGUGUAGGAAGGAAGACUGUACUAGGUAGUAAGAGCACUGGACCACGGGAAAAUAAACAUGGGAGAGCAUCAUGCCGCGUGUUUAUUUUGGAGCUUCCCUACCUGAAGCGUUAAGGAAGGGGUGGCAGUGUGUGCAAGUCAUUCCUUACGCUGAUGAAACUCGGGGUAGCAAUUGGAGAAGGCAGAGCGGAGCUUGCUGCUAAGGAGCCGGGGGAUGCUGCCUCGAGAGCGCUGGCCCCUUGCAUCAGUCAUCUGUUCAUUUAUUCGCACCCAGCCCCACGGGGAAUUCAGGACUCUGAAAAAGAGACAUCGCCAACUUGUAUUUGUGUCUAAACUUGUCACAGCCUUCUUUGUUAGGCCAUGAAGGAGCCGCCUUGUCAAGUUAGGAGGGAGGGAGCCCUUGGCAGCCUCUGGAGUUUGGCCCUUGUUGAAUGGCAAUUUUUGUUUGUUUUCUUUAAUCUCUUUCAACUGGCUGCAGAGCAGCAGAAAGAGGCACGCGUGUCUGAGCCCAGGCAGCUUCCAGCUCCUGGGCAGAGAACAGCCAGUGGCCCUUCAAGGGUGGUGGUGGUGGAGAAAUGUGAAAAAGCUUUGCUUGCGAACACAGGCUGAUGAGAUCUGUUCACUCAGUGUGUCGUGCGGCUCGGUAGGCACGGCUUAGGUAGGCCUUUCUGUCUAGAAAGGAGAAAUGAUUGUAGCCUGGGGACUCUGCUGGGACUUUUGACUCUUGAGCUACCAACUUGAGUCAUGGGGUUUGGCUUAUUUUAAUAUUUGGAGCUGAAGUUUUAGUAUGUAGUCUUACAGUGAUGGACUCAAAUAUGCCAUCCUCCUCUCUCAGCCUUCCUCACCCCAAACUGCUGGGAGUAGAGGCAUGUGCCACCACCUCAGGCUUGUUUUUUGGUUGUUGUUGGUGGUUUUUUUGUUGUUUUGUUGUUGUUGUUUUGAGUACUAGAGAGACCACUGUAUCAGGUGGUUCAAGCCAGCAGACCUUAGAUGUAAAAGAAUUUUGGUAUUCCAGGAUGAACAGACUGGAAUGUCUGCAAAUUUAAAGCACACAUAGAGUAAGCAGAGCUGGACCAGGGCAGUGCUCACGCUGAGCAACCAGACUGUUAGAGCCAGAUACUGCAAUCACUGGUGUGAACAUGACCUGAGCCACCUCAGGACUGAAGGCAGCAGAGAUGGAGCAGGCUGAGGGUUCUGGGAGCCUGAGGUCCAGCUUAAAUUGCCCACUGGGUUUUGGCAAACUCUGCAACCCGCAGAAAGACAGAAGCUGCCUGCAAACUGAUCAACUUUAGAAACUUGGUAAACAUGCUGCAGGCAGGCAGCUCCCAACUGAUGUCCAGGGAGGCAUGAGAGACCGAGGGAGAGAGCUCAGGAUUCAGCUUUCUGCAGGCAGAUGGAACUGACGACUGGAAGGACCCAGACCAGACCAGACGGGCUCUACAGUUCUUCGUGCUGUGUUGACCCAGCCAAAACAAAGAAACAAAAAACCUUAUUUUGUCGUUACUUCUUAACUAUAAUUUCGCUACUGUUGUAGAUCAUAAUGUGACUAUCUGAUAUACAGGAUAUCUGAUAUGCAGCCCCCAAAGGGGUCUCUAACCACAGGUUGAGAACCCCUUUCCUAUAGGCUGGGGAACUGCUAGCUUAUUAGGCUGUGACUCAGACUUUCUCUAAUUUACAUGGCCAAAAUAAACUAGGCAGAGCUCCCUGGCUGUGGCCUGCCCUGCCUUGCUUUAACUCUUCCUAGCCCUGAGCUUUCAAUCUCAGUUCUGCUGGUUGCAAGUGCCCCCCCUCCCCCACCACAUGCCCCCUUCCCUCGUGUGCCCCAGCCUUGGUGCAGAUGCAGAUUGAGCUGAGAGGAAACCAAGAGCCUCAGCUUCCCUCUGUGUUAGCUGCAUGGGUGAAACCUGUCCCUGGGGCUGGGAUCUUUACUCUGUAACGAGUGGUACCUCAGCCCUUUCGCUAGUCCUGCGGUCCACAUUGCAUCACAGGGAGGAGGAAGCAGACCUUGGGGGCAGUCUUUGGGUUUCUAUUCCUCUUUUUUGGGGGAGAGAGAGGGGGCAAUAUAACUUGUGAGUGCUGGGAUUACAAGUGUGAGUGCCAAAUCUCUGGGAUUCUGCUUGCAUAGCUCCUUGCACAUGGCUGAGUCCUACUUUGAUAAAGAAUGUGUCCCAUCCAGGGGCCAGGGCAGCCGCUCGCUGGUCUACUGGAUAGAAGCCCAGCUUUCCCUGAUUGGGUUCUAUUUCCAUUUCUGUUGUCUUGAGUCACUUCCCCUCCUUCACAGGAGGCCAUGCUAUGGUCUGGGGAUUCCCUCAAGGGUGUGUCCAUCCUGUACUCAGAUUGGCCAGUGGUGGGGAUGACAGCAUCAUCCCCUCCUGUCAUGAACAGUUCCUUCCUAUUGGCUGGCUACACAUUUCAUCCUAUCUCCUGCCUCAGUGGUUGCAAAUUGUGAAUGAAUGAAUGAAUGAAUGAAUGAAUGAAUCACAAAUUACAUUUUAUUGUGCCUUAUGUAAAUAUUUGGGAAAGUAUUAUUUAAGGAUUCUUUAUAAAUAUUAUUUACUUGGCUUCCUUUUGAAUACAUUUACUUUUCCAUUUCUUUUUCUUAAUUUUACUUUUCUGCAUCUGUAUCUGGACCAAUAAAUAGGCCCUGAAAAUCUAA